rnacentral:rRNA from 1 species
CCCUUAGAUGUUCUGGGCCGCACGCGCGCUACACUGAUGCAUUCAACGAGCACCCGCUGGGCCGAGAGGUCCGGCUAAUCUUUGAACGUGCAUCGUGCUGGGGAUAGAUGAUUGCAAUUAUUCAUCUUCAACGAGGAAUUCCUAGUAAACGCAAGUCAUCAGCUUGCAUUGAUUACGUCCCUGCCCUUUGUACACACCGCCCGUCGCUCCUACCGAUUGAAUGGUCCGGUGAAGCGUUCGGACCGUGGCCUUUGGACGGUUCGCCGUCUGUUGGCUGCGGGAAGUUCGUUAAACCUUAUCAUUUAGAGGAAGGAGAAGUCGUAACA